rnacentral:tmRNA from 1 species
GGGGGCGACCUGGUUUCGACGUGGGUUACAAAACCUGAGGUGCAUGCCGAGGAUACAGAUUCCCUCGUAAAUCCAUCUGUACAAUCAUAGUUGCCAACGACGACAACUACGCACUCGCCGCUUAAAAACCGGUAGAAUGCCGUCUGACUGGAGCCGUGCCUGUGCGUCCAGAGUCCUUUAUACCUUCGGGUAGACGGGACAUUCAGGCGUCGAUUCUCACAGGAUCGCGAUGAAGCUCGUCCGGGGCAGAUUCGUUAAACUCCAACCGGAAUCGCUGUUGGUCUUCCCUGCCCGUCGGGUAGCCGGCAGUUAAAUACAAAGGCGCGGAUAAGCAUGUAGAGCCGAUGGCGGAGGACCUGCGGACGCGAGUUCGAUUCUCGCCGCCUCCACCA